CACUAUUGUUGCCAUCAGGGUGUCUCUCGGGAAGGCGCCAUCCCGGAUGGAGUUGAUACCUCGUAGGAGUCUUGGUAGGAGCAUGUCUCUGAAUUCUUUUAGGUAGCUAACCGGUAAGCCAUCCGGUCCCAGAGCCUUAUUCGGUUUUGCAGACUUCAGGGCUGCCUGUAGUUCCUCCAGUUUGACUGGGGCUUCCAGGGCUUCCACGUCCUCCUGGAUCAGGG